CUAGGGCCCAAGAGGAGAGGAACCCAACAAAAAUUCCUGGGGGUCAUUAAUAAUCUGGAAUAGGAGAGCUAAUAAGUGGUAAAUAUGGCAAAACAAAAACUUUCCCACUUGGUCUGACAAAUGAAAAAAUCCUGUCACAGGAAUAGCUUUGGAAUUUUUUUCCAGUUAUGAAACCAAAGCAAAUGGAUCAAUGUUAUAUAGAAGAUGAUGCAUCUGUUCCCAAACUGGAUCAAGUAGCAGAAGGAUAAGACAGAAUGCUGCUGCUGUUGUAGUACUCUUCAAACAAACCAAACACCACAAAAGCCCUGAUGAGAUGACUGUCCCUGUGCUGGAGCUCUAACACCUUUGUGUGCCUCUCUUCACAGAAUCCAUGGGGCAGAGGGCUCAAAGCCCUGUCAUACUCCUGCAGCCCUUUAGAAUAAGGAUCAAUUCCAACAGCCUGAUGGGAAAUGUGAAUGAAAGCCGUGAUUAUUAUUUUCAUUCGAACAUUUAAGCUGAAAGUGCUGACAUCUACCAAAUGUGCAUGGAUUGAAGUACCUGAUUUUGAAAGGGAACUCAUGGCAGGCUACUGCCCAGUACAGCAAUUUCAAAUAUUAGUUGGCUGAAUUCAACACUGAGUAAACACUAAAUAUAAUAUAGAUAUAAAAGAAUGGGUACAAAUACCAGCGUAGUAUUUCAUUAUUAAAACUAGUCAUCAUUCUAUUUCAACAACUAAAUCCAUUAUGAAAACAAGCGGGGAAGGAGACACACAACAAAUAAAUAAUGCAAUUAACUUACAAAAUAUGAAACAAAAUGUCUACAUACAAAAAAAAGAGUAAAAAUCAACGUUAGUCACUUAAGCUUCACAGAACAUUUGUACGAUAGAAGACCUUCUGUGCCCCAGCUUGUGUGUCUGCCAGAAUGAGCUGGAGAACCACCCAUCCUGGCUUUAAAGACACUGCAGUGUGCUGCAGAAGCACUGUCCUGCCUGGCCAAGGCUCCCUGUAUUCCAGGGAGAGCCCUCAGGGGGCUGCAGGCUCGGUGCUCUCCUCUGCUUUGUUAAUGCCAGGUAGCAAAAUGUACAUCAGGCAUCUGUACAGAAGAAAAACUUUUCCAGUGAGGUUUUGGUUGUGUCUGCUUUAAAAUUUCAUGAAUGCUUUAAAAUAAUGCUAACAUAACUCUAGCACAAUAGUUCUCCCCUACAACUCGUUCAUUUGCAAAUCAAAUAUUUCCUUCUGCUAGUGUUUUAUACCCAUAAAAUUUCCACUGGAAGUUCCAGUGAGGGGACAAAAUGUCAGGCAGGGAUUUUCAAUAUGCAUUUUAUUUUGAUUGUGCAUGUAUCUUUUCUUAUCUGAGAAAUUUUUUUUUGCCUUUGUAUACAAAAUCUUUCAAUGUCCAUUUUGAAGUUAAAGAGCAAUGAACUUUCAUAACCUCUGCCACUCCUGAUUACCUCUUAAAAGUGUCAGUUUACAUGGAGAAGCCAGAAGAAACUGAGACAAACAGACAUCUGGACAUUUUAGCCAUUCAUUUAGAAAACAUCUGUAUCCAUCCAUGCAAUUUUAAGACUAUAAGUAACUUUGCAGUUACAUCUGAGCCCAUUGCUGGGGCAGCAAGGUAGCGUUUAUCUCCCACGUGUAUUCUAUCAAUUUCUUUUUUUCUUAAAGCAGCUUCCUAAAAUGAAAAACAGAAAAGCAGUGGUUAAGUUCAUCUCUUUCAAGCACUGGAUUCAAGGCUUAUACAAGGCAGCCCUUACUGUUUCCAGCUGUGGAAAAUCUAGAUGCUGAUUCUUUUCAAGACAAAAAAAUUAACUACUGACAUGGAAAAAUGGGAACUGCUGUUCCUUUCAAUUAAAAAAUAUUGCUGAAGAUCUGGAACAUGAGAUUUUGCUGCCGUAUAUAUAUUUAAUAGGAUGCCAAGGAAUUGUACUACAGUAUUAUUCAAAGUAACCCAGCAAGUUGUGGUUUGCUGCUUCCUACAGCAGGAAUACAGUUCAUGCUAAUAAUUCAGUCUUUGAGGACCUUCCUUCUGCUUAGCUUUCAUCAAAGCACACAGCCCGGAUUGAUUAAAUGUUUGGAAUUGUAACAUUUCUGUUACAGCUGGUGCCCACCAUACCAGACAGGACUAUACCAAUGAUCUGUCUGGUGCUGGUCAGUUGCCAGAUCUUGAGAACGCAAGGCAAACUAACAUUUUUGUUUUGGCUUUUUAAAAUUUCCAGUUUUAAACAAAGCACUGGGCAAUGGGAAUUACACCAGAAGAAUUAAUAAGAUUCUAGCUGUGCUUUCAAGGACCUGAAUUGAGGUCAGAGCUCUGACACCCAUUAACUCUGGGAUUCCUCUUCACUGUUUUUUUUUAUUUUUUUCCUUGGGACUGCUGGGAUUAUUAAAGACUGUAAAAGGGUUGAACCUCUUCAAAAAUAAUGUUGAAGUCUUUGCCUCUAGUGUCCUAGCAUUUCUAGAACUUUAAAAUAUAAUACAGUAAUGUAAAGGCCACAGAACAAAAUAUCAAAGGAGUUAGUUAUUCAGACAAGACAUUUCACUCACAUUUGAUGCUGCCUGACAAACUCUGCAAAUUGGCGGUCUUUAGCGUAGAGCUCUAUAAUUCGAAUCCUGUCCUGAAUUUCCUAGAAUACAAUAAACAGAAUUGUAAGUACAUAAUAGAAAUCAGAAUGCUACUGAAAUAACUGAUUUCUGGGUUUGGGGAAAUAAAGCUCCUAUGUGUUGCUAUUUCAAAGAGUGGAGCUUGAAACUGGGCACUCCGAUGCUAAAAUUCUUCUUUUUUAUUUAUUUUAAUUUUUCUAAAUGAAAAAAAAAAAGUGAAGCACUUCAUUUUACUUCAGUAAUACUUCACUUUCAAAUAAAAACCAGGGUUUGGACAGUGUGUAGCAUUUCAAUAGGCUUUCACAAAACCAUUUAUGUCUCAGAGAUACUUUACCUACCAGCCUUCCAGCUAUACGCUGGAUUCAUACCUCUCACAGUUGCUUAAGGAUCUGUGGUUAGUUCUGGGAUGUAAAUCCCUUCUCUUUAGCCUUCUACAGUAACCCUUGGAUACUGUGUAUACAGGAAGAAAUAAGAUGUGAUCUAACUUGCAGGUUAUAGAAAGACUUAAACUUUAAAAACAAUCAGAAAACACCCAAAAAAAAAAAGCUUCCUGUGAAAAGGCCUGGAUGUACCAAUUUUUCACUGUGCAACUACUCUUACCUAAGAGAGUUGGCUUUAAAAGGUAAAUGUUGUGUCGAGUAAUACAUCAAACCUCCCCAACUCCCAUGAAGUUACCUAAGGGGUCAGGUCCUGUAUUAUGUGAAAUUCAUUACUGGUCAGAACAAAACCAUAACUUUCUCCAAAAGCAAGCAGGGAAAGCAAGUUUUUCUGUCUUCUUUUAAAUAGUUGCAGCAGCUGCAGCCUGUUUAUCUGGAGCAUAGACACCGGGGAAAGAUCGGGCCCACCUCUGAGGUUAGAAGUGUGGAAUAAGCUUACU